UACGGGGGGGUAAGCGUUGUUCGGAAUUACUGGGCGUUGAAAGGCUACGGUGGCGGCCAACUAAGUCAGACGUGGAAAUCCCUCAGCUUAACUGGGGGAACUGCGUCUGAUACUGGAUGGCUUGGAUUCGGGAGAGGAAUGCGGAAUUCCAGGUGUAGCGGUGGAAAUGACGUAGAUAUCUGGAGGAACACCGGUGGCGAAGGCGGCAUUCUGGACCGAUAUUGACGCUGAGGAGCGAAAGUGUGGGGAGCCGGAACAGGA
rnacentral:rRNA from 1 species